GGAUAGCGGCAAAAAAUUGCCGGCCGCUCAGCUUACCGCCACAAAACAUGUCAGCAGAAGUACCAAUCCUUAAUAUGUUGCACCAUCGGUGGCGACUGCAUCUGAAAUGCCGCUAAUUUGGAUCUUUAUCAUAAUUCAAUUUUUAUUUUGCCUUUUUUUUUAUCUUAUAACUAAUAUUUUCCCCAAUCUUGCAGAAACCCGCAAAGUGAGAUUGGUAGCGCAUGAAACCCUGGCACUACUGCUCCACCGUGCAUCGCUGAUCCAUCCUCCUCUUUCCGGCGUCAAGCUUUCGACUCUCCUGCACAGUGCCUGAAAUCCAUACUCCCUCAUCCAUGGUGCCUGAAAUCCCUAAUCUUCGAUUCACCCUGCGCAUUUGUGUGGUUGUGGAGUCGUGCGGCUGCCCUUCGUCCUUCUCUCACCAGCGUCGAAGUUUUCCAUCUCCUCGAUCGUGCGUGAAACCCUUACACCCUCCUCCCCUGUGCGCCGAUCUGAGCUAUCGUGGCCUCUCCCCUAUUACUGACAUCUGAGGAAGCAGCUGAAACACUGAACCAGCUUAGACAAGGUGCAGUGAAGGUGCUUUUUGUUUCCCCAGAGCGCUUCCUGAAUGAGGAGUUUCUGUCUAUUAUUUCUGGUAUGUCAGGCAUCUCACUU